rnacentral:sRNA from 1 species
UUACGGAUCUGCGACGCCGCCGGCGAUGG